rnacentral:rRNA from 1 species
GACAGAGGGUGCAAACGUUGUUCGGAAUUACUGGGCGUAAAGCGUGCGCAGGCGGUUCGCUAAGACAGAUGUGAAAUCCCCCGGGCUUAACCUGGGAACUGCAUUUGUGACUGCAUGGCUAGAGUGCGGCAGAGGGGGAUGGAAUUCCGCGGUGUAGCAGUGAAAUGCGUAGAUAUGCGGAGGAACACCGAUGGCGAAGGCAAUCCCCUGGGCCUGCACUGACGCUCAUGCACGAAAGCGUGGGGAGC